UCCGGUUUGGCACCGGCAGUCUCCCUAGAGUUCCCGGCAUCAUCCGCUGGCAACUAAGGACAGGGGUUGCGCUCGUUGCGCCACUUAAGGCAACACCUCACGGCACGAGCUGACGACAGCCAUGCACCACCUGUGCAGGCUCCGAAGAGCACCCGCUUUCACGGGUUUCACCCUGCAUGUCAAGCCCAGGUAAGGUGGGGAUGACGUUCGUCAGUCAA
rnacentral:misc_RNA from 1 species